GCCUCACGACAGGGGAGCGCCGUCGGGCGCUGAGAGUGCGGAAGACCGCAGACCCUCGAACCUGCUCCGGUUCAUACCGGCGAAGGAAGUCGAGCUUCUCCCCGC
rnacentral:ncRNA from 2 species